AUGAGUCUCACCAGCAAAUGGAGACAGCCCUUCAAUUUCCUGCAAGUGAACUCUGCAACUGACGUGCAGGCUAAUAAUUACUUGUUCAGCAAUUUAGCACGGCCCAGGCUGCUGGAAACUAACAUCUUCCUGAAGAGGAUGUCCUUCACACUUCUCCCUCCAGGCAAGACACGUUUUCAAGACCAAGAGAGUAGAGAAGUCAGAUCAAGUGGAGCUUCCGGAAAGUGUGCAGGGUUGAGGUGGAAAGAGAAAAGACUGGAAAAAGAGGCUGCGAUGCCGGUUGUCUAAACAGAGGGAGUAUUUGCCUCCUGGACAUUGAGUAAAUCAAUGUGUGAGCAUUCUAAAAGGUUAAAAGGUCAGUGAAAUGAUUGAUGGUUUAUGGAGGUGGGGGCAGGAGGAUGGCAAAAGGAAUCCUCAAGAGUGAGCACUUUCAGGAACAAACCGAACAUGGAACCAUGAGUGAACUGCUAGAUAUAGAAAGGGCUCAACCUGGCCAGGCGCGGUGGCUCACGCCUGUAAUCCCAGCACUUUGGGAGGCCCACGAGGUCAGGAGAUCAAGACAACACUGGCCAACAUGGUGAAACCCCGUCUGUACUAAAAAUACAAAAAAAUUGGCUGGGCAUGGUGGCAUGCGCCUGUAGUCCCAGCUACUUGGGAGGCUGAGGCAGGAGAAUUGCUUGAACCCAGGAGGCGGAGGUUGCAAUGAGCCAAGAUCGCACCACUGCACUCCAGCCUGGAGACAGAGCAAGACUUUGUCUCAAAAAAAAAAAAAAAAAAAAAGCGGGGGGGCCUCAACCCAGUGGUGAGGGCUAAAAUGUUAGCCAUUUAAACAAUUCAUAACAGAAGACUCAUCUUUAUUGCUACCCACCCCCAAAAUAGCCUAAUUUUUAGAGGCCCCCCUCUUCUUGGAGACAUCCCAAAAAAUACAAAGUUGCUGAUAUGAGUAGAACUACUGAGAUCUCCACAAAAUACAAGAAUACUUAAAAUAUUUAAAUUUUUAAAUUUUUUUGGAGUCAGAGGCUUGCUCUGUUGCCCAGGCUGGAGUGCAGUGGCAUGAUUUUGGCUCACUGAAACCUCUUCCUCCCAGGUUCAAGCAAUUCUCGUGCCUCAGCCUCCCGAGUAGCUGGGAUUACAGGUGUGCCACCACACCAGGCUAAUUUUUGUAUUUUUAGUAGAGACAGGGUUUCGUCAUGUUGGCCAGGCUGGUCUCAAACUCCUGGCCUCAAGCUAUCCGUCCUCCUUGACCUCCCAAAGUGCUGGGAUUACAGGUGUGAGCCACUGCACCCAGCCAAAAGAUAGUUUCUUAAUAGGGUGUCUUCCCUCGGCGUUGUCCGUUCUAAUUCUUUGUUCUUUCUUUCUUUCUUUUUUUUUUUGGAUACAGCAUCUGGCUUUGUUGCCCAGGCUGGAGUGCAGUGGUG
rnacentral:lncRNA from 10 species